rnacentral:rRNA from 1 species
GACGAACGCUGGCGGCGUGCUUAACACAUGCAAGUCGAACGGAAAGGCCCUGCUUUUGUGGGGUGCUCGAGUGGCGAACGGGUGAGUAACACGUGAGUAACCUGCCCUUGACUUUGGGAUAAAUUCAGGAAACUGGGGCUAAUACCGGAUAGGAGCUCCUGCUGCAUGGUGGGGGUUGGAAAGUUUCGGCGGUUGGGGAUGGACUCGCGGCUUAUCAGCUUGUUGGUGGGGUAGUGGCUUACCAAGGCUUUGACGGGUAGCCGGCCUGGGAGGGUGACCGGCCACAUUGGGACUGAGAUACGGCCCAGACUCCUACGGGAGGCAGCAGGGGGGAAUAUUGCACAAUGGGCGGAAGCCUGAUGCAGCAACGCCGCGUGCGGGAUGACGGCCUUCGGGUUGUAAACCGCUUUCGCCUGUGACGAAGCGUGAGUGACGGUAAUGGGUAAAGAAGCACCGGCUAACUACGUG